rnacentral:piRNA from 1 species
UGCCGGAGCGAGGAGGAGGACUAG